rnacentral:rRNA from 1 species
GUUGCUCGGAAUCACUGGGCGUAAAGCGCCCGUAGGCGGCUUUCUAAGUCAGGGGUGAAAUCCUGGAGCUCAACUCCAGAACUGCCUUUGAUACUGGAGAGCUUGAGUCCGGAAGAGGUGAGUGGAACUCCGAGUGUAGAGGUGAAAUUCGUAGAUAUUCGGAAGAACACCAGGGGCGAAGGCGGCUCACUGGUCCGGUACUGACGCUGAGGUGCGAAGGCGUGGGGAGCAAACAGG